rnacentral:tRNA from 1 species
GGGGCCAGGGUUGGUACCCGUAGUUGGGGUUUAGACCUAACUAUGCGGGGUUCGAUUCCCCCUGGCUCCACCA